rfam:Triticum aestivum genome assembly, contig: Triticum_aestivum_CS42_TGACv1_scaffold_514102_6BS
ACAUUACUCCCUCCGUUCGAAAUUAUUUGUCACAAAAAUGGAUGUAUCUACAACUAAAAUACAUCUAUAUACAUAUUCAUUUCUUGGACGAGUAAUUCCGAACGGAGGGAGUACAUA